rnacentral:misc_RNA from 1 species
UUUCCGUAGGUGAACCUGCGGAAGGAUCAUUACUGAAAUGUAAUAACUUCUAUUGAAAGGUUCCAGAGUAGGCGCUACAACGCCGAAAUGACCUUCUCACCCUUGUGUACUCACUAUGUUGCUUUGGCUGGUCGACCUGGUUCCGACCCAGGCGGCCGGCGCCCCCAGCCUUAACUGGCCAGGACGCCCGGCUAAGUGCCCGCCAGUAUACAAAACUCAAGAAUUCAUUUUGUGAAGUCCUGAUAUAUCAUUUAAUUGAUUAAAACUUUCAACAACGGAUCUCUUGGUUCUGGCAUCGAUGAAGAACGCAGC